AUUUGGCCAGAGCCUCUCGUCGCACCGCGCGUCAUUCUCGUACCCAGAGCCCUUCUUACGCGCGGUGCGGCGAGGGGAUCUGGCCAAAU
rnacentral:miRNA from 1 species